rnacentral:rRNA from 1 species
CACAACCAGUGGUGCUCUUUCUCUUGCGAGCAACGGAUGAAUCAGCCUUGUUAUCCAAUCCAGAGGUGGCUGAUUUCUCCUUUGCUCGAGUAGAGAAAGAGUAUUGUUGGACACAGAGAAAACGAAGAACUUGGGAGGAGCAGCACCACCCAAGUUGAAGUAAUGGGUUCAGCAACAUCUGCAGCUUCUUUCGAUGAAGAAGGAAGCUUGGGAGAAGCAGCACCCAAGAUUUUUUGCUGCUGCUGCUGCUGUUUUCUUUGGUCUUAUCCCCUUUCUCUUCUCAGAGAAGAGCGCAAUCCUUCGCAACAAUUCCUUCGCGCAUCAACCACAUCCCAAAUCCCCCCUUUAAUCAGGUCCUAUAAGAAACCCGCCUCCCUCUCUGCGCCCGAUCCCCACACCUGCCUCCCCGUCCGCGCCUGAUCCUCGCGCCCGCCUCCCCCUCCGCGCCCCAUCCCCAACCCGCCGCCUCCUCCGCUCCGCGCCGCCCCAGCUCGCCGCCUCCUCCGCUCCGCAACCGCGCCGCCCCAGCUCGCGGCCUCCUCCGCUCCGCAACCGCGCCGACCUCGCGAAUCCACCGCGCUAGACUAUGUUUGCAGUUCAAGGUGUUGACAUGACCAAGGAAGAGCCUCAGCCUGGCAAGGCUUCCAAGGUGCGUGUUUGUCGGGAUACCAAAACCAAGCUGAGAAACCGCAAGCGCCGAAAGCGGAAUGCAGGAGGCAUCGGGCCAGUACUGGAAGAGGACCAUCCCCAUGAGGUUGAGGCUCAGGAAAUGGGCCUUGUACCUAUUCCAGAUUUUGAGCCUGAGAUCACUCAUUAUGCGCUCAGUGAACCUAAGAGAAAGACUCACAUCAACAUCGUGGUCAUUGGCCAUUUUGACUCUGGCAAGUCAACCACAACAGGACAUUUGAUCUACAAGCUUGGAGCUAUUGACAAGCAUACGAUCGAGGUGCUCGAGAAGAAGGCUGCUGAGAUGAACAAGAGGUCUUUCAAGUACGCGUGGGUGCUCGACAAGCUGAAAGCUGAGCGUGAGAGGGGUAUCACCAUUGAUAUUGCCCUGUGGAAGUUUGAGAUCACCAAGUACUACUGCACAGUCAUCGAUGCGCCUGGUCAUCGUGACUUCAUCAAGAACAUGAUUACUGGCUGGUACCUCCCAGGCUGACUGCGCUGUGCUCAUCAUUGACUCCACCACUGGUGGUUUUGAGGCUGGUAUCUCUGAUGAUGGCCAGACCCGUGAGCAUGCGCUCCUUGCGUAUGUUCUUGGGGUGAAGCAGAUGAUCUGCUGCUGCAACAAGAUGGACGCCACCACUCCCAAGUACUCGAAGGCCCGUUAUGAGGAAGUUGUUAAGGAAGUCUCUUCAUACCUGAAGAAGGUCGGCUACAAUCCUGACAAGGUUCGCUUCGUCCCCAUCUCUGGGUUUGAGGGUGACAACAUGAUUGAGAGGUCCACCAACCUUGACUGGUACCAGGGCCCUACCCUGCUUGAGGCACUUGAUCAGAUCAAUGAGCCCAAGAGGCCCUCAGACAAGCCAUUGCGUCUUCCCCUUCAGGAUGUUUACAAGAUUGGUGGCAUUGGAACUGUGCCCGUUGGCCGUGUUGAGACUGGUGUCAUCAAGCCUGGUAUGGUUGUUACCUUUGGUCCCACUGGUCUGACAACUGAGGUCAAGUCUGUUGAGAUGCACCACGAGUCUCUCCUGGAGGCGCUUCCUGGUGACAAUGUCGGCUUCAAUAUCAAGAAUGUUGCUGUGAAGGACCUGAGGCGUGGGUUUGUUGCAUCCAACUCCAAGGAUGACCCUGCCAUGGAGGCAGCCAACUUCACCUCCCAGGUAAUCAUCAUGAACCACCCUGGUCAGAUUUGCAACGGCUACGCCCCAGUGCUGGAUUGCCACACCUCCCACAUUGCUGUCAAGUUUGCUGAGCUGGUGACCAAGAUCGACAGGCGAUCUGGUAAGGAGCUGGAGGCGCUGCCCAAGUUUCUGCAGAAGGGGGAUGCCGGUAUUGUGAAGAUGAUUCCCACCAAGCCAUGGUUGUGGAGACCUUCGCCACCUACCCUCCGCUUGGUCGUUUUGCUGUGCGUGACAUGAGGCAGACCGUAGCUGUGGGUGUCGUAAAGGGCGUGGAGAAGAAGGACCCCACCGGUGCCAAGGUUACCAAGGCUGCCAUCAAAAAGAAAUGAGUGAUUCUGUCUUCCGUUGAGCCCAUACGUCUGUGCCUAGAAGUUGUAGUGUAGGAGUUUUCCGAGAACUUUUAGUAUGCUCUAUCAUCCGUUGUAAAAAGUGCUUCAGCAAGAAUUCUCUAGUUUUUUGUUAGAAAAUAUUCAACUAUUGGUUUCAGCAUAUGCUGCUUGUGUGUGCCAAAAAGGUUUUGACAAUGUUGGGAUAGUUAACGUGGAGAUUACAUAGAUCAUUCAGGUAUACAGUGGUUGUGUGUAAAUGCAAAUUUACAUAUGAAAGUUCGUCUUUGGUUAAGGUAUCGGGAAGUUUGGUUUGGCC